rnacentral:rRNA from 1 species
AUUGAACGCUGGCGGCAGGCCUAACACAUGCAAGUCGAGCGAGCGGCGGACGGGUGAGUAAUGUCGGGGAAACUGCCUGAAGGAGGGGGAUAACUGCUGGAAACGGUAGCUAAUACCGCAUACCAUCAGAUGGGCCCAGAUGUGAUUAGCUAGUAGGUGGGGUGACGUCCCACCUAGGCGACGAUCCCUAGCUGGGCUGGGAGGAUGAGCAGCCACACUGGAACUGAGACACGGUCCAGACUCCCACGGGAGGCAGCAGUGGGGACUAUUUCACAAUGGGCGCCAGCCUGAUGCAGCCACGCCGCGUGUGUGAAGAAGGCCUUCGGGUUGUAAAGCACUUUCAGCGGGGAGGCGUUACCCUAAGAAGAAGCACCGGCUAACUCCGUGCCAGCAGCCGCGGUAAUAC